GGUCAGUGAUGUAACGGCAGGCGUCAGCUGUAUCCAAAGGCCAUGUGAGCCCUAAAAUUAGGCGGAAACGGU
rnacentral:snoRNA from 1 species